AGAAAAGAGAGCAACGUCAAUUGGUCUGGCAGGCAGGCAGGCGACAAACGUGCUGAUAACACAAAACAAGUGGCAAUAAAAAAGUAAAAUAGCAAAAAUAAAAAGGAGGCGAAAAAAAUCUAACACGAAAGUCGAGAGUGAAGCAAAAAAGCUAGUAAGUUGCCAAAGUUGAGGGCAAGCAAG